GACGAUCGACUCAUGUUGCCUCGGCGGGUUCUCCCGCCAGAGGAUACAUCAAAACUCCUGUUUUAACGGUGUUGUCUGAGCUACAAGCAACGAAUCAAAACUUUCAACAACGGAUCUCUUGGUUCUGGCAUCGAUGAAGAACGCAGCGAAAUGCGAUAAGUAGUGUGAAUUGCAGAAUUCAGUGAAUCAUCGAAUCUUUGAACGCACAUUGCGCCCUUUGGUAUUCCGAAGGGCAUGCCUGUUCGAGCGUCAUUACAACCACUCAAGCUCACGCUUGGUAUUGGGAUUCGCACAUCAGCGGUCCCUAAAAUCAGUGGCGGUGCUCUUAAGCUCUACGCGUAGUAAUUUUCUCGCUAUAGAUCUUAAGGGUGUCUUGCCAGUAACCCCCAAUUUUUAUCAGGUUGACCUCGGAUCAGGUAGGGAUACCCGCUGAACUUAAGCAUAUCAAUAA
rnacentral:rRNA from 1 species